CCUUUCUGCCCUCUGCCAUGUGAGGUCACAGUGUUCCUCCCUCCUGAGGAUGCAGUGUUCAUGAAAGCAAACACUGGGCCCUCACCAGGCAACAAACCUGCUGGUGCCUUCAUCUUGGACUUCCCAGCCUUCGGAACUAUGGAGCCCGCACUCUCCAGUUCAUCACCACCCCAGCAUCCCUACUCUUGCAUCUAACAGUUUCCGCUAUUUUGCACCACCUGCCUGGCCCUUAUGGGCAACUCAAGGAAGAAAGGAAAGAAGAGAUAGAGGAAAAAUGGAUUCAACAAAUGAAAGUGUUCUUUCUGACUACUGCUGUGUUUACAAACAUUUUAAUCAUCAAAACAUGCUUUAUUUGAUAGAAAGAUCAAAUCUGCCUUUGUAAAACAAGAGACUAUUUUAAUCAUUAAGACAACACACAUGUUUGAUUUGGAGGCGUGUUCUCAUUCAAAACCUUGCAAAAUAUAAUUUCUUCUUGUCUGGGAGAUGGUGUCUUUCUUCGGGGAGAACCUUGAGAGAAAUGUCUAUGAAUGUGUCUGUAGAUUGAGGAUAGGCCAACAAACAUAUUUUGAAAUAUUUUUUCUUUCUUUUAAAAAAAUAGAUACUUUUAAAAGAAAAUGCUUAUUUAAAUUACAUAGCUCUUUUUUUCACUCUCAGUCAUCAUUUGUGGUUUCAGUCAGUACUACAUUUAUUCCCCAGAGCUAGGAUUGCUGUGUUUUUAGAAAGGGAGCCUGUUUGAAGGGACUCUAUACUCUUGCAGUAAUUAAAAUCCUUUUAGGAGUCUUUGACUUUGACUUACUGCUUUGUUUUAAAUUAUUGAAAUUAUUCAACUUCCCCAUUCUAACCCACGGAAGGCUGUUGUUGUUCUCAUUUAUAAUGGCACAAUAUAAGUUUAAAGAUAGCUGUCUCCACAUGAAUGCAUCUGCAAAUCCAUCUCUCUUCUCUCUUCUGCCAUCCAGGUUAAGAAGCUCCACUGCGCUUUGUCCAUUGCAAGUUGAGAAGUGAGGCCCCAGCUGUCACAUACAGUGAGUGAAGAAGCUGAGCUUCCCUCAACGCCUGGGCCUGUAUGAAUUUUUUUUUUUUUUUUUUUUUUGGAGACGGAGUCUCACUUUGUUGCCCAGGCUGGAGUGCAAUGGCACUAUCUCAGGCCACUGCAACCUCUGCCUCCCAGGUUCAAGCGAUUCUUCUGCCUCAGCCUCCUGAGUAGCUGGGAUUACAGAAGUGCACCAUUACAGCUUGCUAAUUUUUGUAUUUUUAGUAGAGAAGGGUUUUCACCAUGUUGGCCAGGUUGGUCUCGAACUCUUGGCCUCAGGUGAUCCGCCCGCACAGCCUCCCAAAGUGUUGGGAUUACAGGCGUGAGCCACUGCGCCCGGCCUUAGGCUCCAUCACAAGAGGGAGCCCCAUUGCUAGUCCCCAUCCUCAAAGCCUCUGCGUGAUGUUGUCUACUGUUACUCUUCACUACCCUGUGGGAGCCAAAGCCCUGGACAUAAGAACAGAAGGCAAGCAGUGGUGGCUGAGAGGAAGAACUGACACCUUUGUGCUAUCAGAGCACUUUGCAGAGGAGCUGUUAGUGGCCCUGUAGGAGUCUGCUGGCCAUACAUCUGGGUGUCAAAUCAAGAGAGCAUGAGAAGUUGGACAGGAAAGGUCCAAGGCAAAAUGGUUACUAAAGGCCAUCCCUGAUCCUGACCCUAAAAGAAGAAAAGGCCCUUUGCUCUUGGCAUGCUUUUGCAGGAGUGUCUCAGUCUGUUUGGGCUGCUAUAACAUUGACUGGGUGAUCUGCCUGCCUGGCCUCCCAAAGUGCUGGGGUUACAGGUGUGAGCCGCUGCACCAGGCCUUGAGGUCAGGAGUUCGAGACCAGCCUGGCCAACAUGGUGAAACCUGUCUUUACUAAAAAUACAGAAAUUAGCCAGGCAUGGAGGCGCAUGCCUGUAAUCCCAGCUACUGGGGAGGCUGAGGCAGGAGAAUCGCUUGAACCCAGAAGGUGGAGGUUGCGGUGAGCCCAGAUAGUGCCAUUGCACUCUAGCCUGGCCAACAAGAGUGAAACUCUGUCUCAAAAAAUAAAUAAACAAACAAACAAACA
rnacentral:lncRNA from 1 species